rnacentral:lncRNA from 1 species
CGGAGCCGCGGCGCCUGGGUUUUGCGCGAGGCCUCCGCCCUGGGAUUGGGGCGGGCAGUCGCGGAGGCGCAUCCCUGGUGAGCCGGUGGGAGGGGAAAAGGAUGUCGCGUCCCCCAUCCUUGCGGCCUCCCGUCCUCCGUCACCAGCCCCCUCCGUCUCCUGCAUCACAAGGCCCCGUCCCCGCGGUCCCCCGCGACCCCCGCACCCGGCCCCGCUCCACCCGCCGUGCUUCCUGCCCCUCCACACCCUCGUCCCCACCCGGGCCCAUCCCCCUGUGAGCCCUGGUGCCCUGGGAUGAGGGCCGAGGUCCUGAGCGGAGAGGGUGCUUGUACCAGCCCCAUGGUGGCUCGAGCCCACCCCGCGGCCCCUCCCGUGGCAGGUGCGGUUUCUCCACCGGUUGUCAGCUGCGGGGCCGGGCGGAGACCUCCUCAACCUCCGGCCUUGUUUCAGGGAGGAUGGGGUCGACCCUUGCGAUCCCCAGAGGCCCCCCAUGGCUCCUCCUGGGCUGGCUGUCUUCCUCCUGUGGGUUCUGAUGCCACCUGGGCCGACGGCGUCUUCUCAGCCCAGGGCGGCCGCGCCUCCGGUGAGUUUCAGCUGAGGGCGCACGGCCAGCUCCGAGCCUGGCUCCGGGUGCAGCACCGGCCUGGGACCUCUGCUGUCCCGCGUAGGGGUGCCCUGCAAAUAUGUGAUGAAUAAGUGAAGAAAUACGUUCUAUCUUCUAACUUGCCGGAUGUUAGAAGGAAACCAAGCUUAUGCUUCUCAUUUAUAGCUACCGUUAAGGAUUGGACAGAAGCUUAGCUUUUUGGGUGAGACGGACAACAGUGUUUUUAGAACCUUUGGCAAGGAAGAGCUGGAAAGAACAUGUAUUUGAAAGUGACUGACAGGUCUUCUGGCCCUAGGGGGCCACCUGAGCAGGUGCACCCAGCUUCCCUCCAAGACAGAAAAUAAAUUAAGAAGGAGAGCAGGAAGGGCCCCGGCAGACUCCAGACGGGAGGGGGUGCUGCCCAUCAGGCAGAAGGAGCUUGGAAGGGAGGGGCCGUGGCCAUGGGACGUGGAGGUGGGAGCGGGGGUCAUCAUAGGUCUGCACACUCGGGUUGAGUCCCCCUUCCCCAUCACACACAGGACAGCCAGCAGUGAGCUGCUUACCCCAAGGAGUCAAGGGGGUUCUUGGGCAACCCCUGGUGCUGGAGCCGGCAGUGGACAGCACCGCAGCCAGACCUUGCUUAUUUUUGGCUCAUGAGGAACAUCUGUGACCGUUCCCUCCCCUGGCCCUGGGAGGGGAUGUGUGACCUCCACUCAAGACAGCCAUGCGGCUCCUCCGGCUGCGGGCGGGGAGGGCAUGUUUCCCAGCACAGGCCCAGGACUGCCAGCUGAGAGGCUGGGAGGGGCCCCUCACCCCUAGACUUUGCAUGUGAAGCCAAGCGUGGAGCCUCACAGGGAAUCUGAGAUGGGAGCCAGUGAGAUGGGGGCAGGACCCAGAGGGGAGAAGAGGUCCUGGGGAUGCUGUGGAUCUGGAUCCAGCGUGCGGGAGCUGAGGUUCCGGAGUGAAACACUGCCUUUCAUGGAAGCACGUCUUCCUGUCACCCAUCGGCUUCAUUUUAAAGGAUGAAAAUGUAUCAGACAUUCAAGGAGAGCUGCAUCACAUAAAAGAAAGACCAGGCAAAGAAACGGAAAAUAAAUGGAUUGAGAAAUGUGAAUGACUCCAAUCAUUCCAAUCAUUGGAAUGAAUGGAUUGGAUAAAACUCCAAUCCAUAGACUCAGAUUAGGGAGAUAUAUUUAUAUAAUAAGAACAGGAAACUGUGAAGAUGAAAUAAGACAAAAAAGACACUUUUGAGAUUAAAAAAUUACUGCAAAAAAAAAAAACCAACAGAAGGAUGGAAUUGUAUAUUUAAGGAAAUGUUUCUGGCAAAAAGGCAGCAAAUAUGAAAGAAAAGGGGAUAGACCCAGGGGAUCCAUUUUGGGCUCUAACAUCUAACAGUUGUUCCAAGGCCGAGAACACAGAAUGGGAAAAGGAAGGGGGAGGCGGUGCUCCAGCUGAUUUUAUGAUUCCAGAAGCCUUCUAUCUUAAGAUGUAUAGGAUGUAUCUUAGGGUGUAUAAGAGAAGCGCAAGAGAAACAUUUAGGCUGUUUUAUGUUUGAGUAGAGACAUGAAAGUUUUAAAUAAAGCAGCAGCACAAUGAGUCCAGCGGCACAUCAGAAAGCAAAUCACCAUGAUCAGGUCAGGUUCAGGGUGGUUUUAUGUCAUGAUAUAUGUCAGUGUGCUUUACCUAUUAGUGGACCAAAGGCAAAAAAUACGGUUUUCUACAGAGAAAGACAAAGCAUUUGAUUUCAAUCAACAUUCGUUUGUGGUGAAACAUGUUGAGAAAACUCAUCAUAGAAGUGAAAUGUUUUCUUUGAUAAAGGCUAAUCUCAGAAGACAUACGUAGUGGAGAGCUUUUAAAUGUAUUUUUAAAAAUACGAACCAAUGAGAAGAUUGCCUACUUUCACCGCUUCUGUUUAACACAGCAUUGGCAGAGCUGCCACCAAGAAGAACACAGCACGUUGAAGGCACGGUGGCUCCUGAAGCUGCAGCCCUGAGACCUGAUUGUACCAUGGAAGGUGGGGUGGCUCCUGCAGCUGUAGCCCUGAGACCUGAUUCCACCACAAGUGCUGCAGCUGGCAGAGGCCACAGGACAUAGGCAUAGCUGGUGAAACCUGCAACUGAGGGUGUCGGGGGCUCCUGGGAGAGCCUCCGUCCCCCCUAAGGAGAGGGGCUGCGUAGAACCUGUGUGCUAUUGUCCUUUCCCCCUUUUUCCUGCUGGGAGUGGGACUUGGUGCCAAGGGUGGCUCCUGCCAUCGGAAGACCCCAGGAUGCUGGGUCAGCGGCUAGGCGGGUGGAGGGUGGGGUUGUCCCCGGCACACAGCGGUGCUGCUCUGCCACUCUGCACUGCUGGGUGUCUCACAUCUCAUCCCUGUAUUAAGCAGGUACUCCCUAGACUUGCAGCCAGAUGUAUACCUUAGAUUUAAAAGAUGGUAGAAUUUCUCUACCAGAACAAAAAAUAGCUUUAAAAAAUAUAAGAUAAAAAGCCAUUCAUAGUCUGGCACGAUGGCUCAUGCCUGUAAUCCUAGCACUUUGGGAGGCCGAGUCGGGCAGAUCACCUGAGGCCAGGAGUUCGAGACCAGACUGGUCAAAAUGGUGAAACCCCGUCUCUACUAAAAUUACAAAAAUUAGCUAGUCAUGGUGGUACAUGCCUGUAAUCCUAGCUACACGGGAGGCUGAGGCACGAGAAUCACUUGAACCCAGGAGGUGGAGGUUGCAGUGAGCUGAGAUUGCGCCACUGCACUCCAGCCUGGGUGACAGAGCAAGACUCCUCCUCCAAAAAAAAAAAAAAAAAAAAAGCCAUUCACCACAGUCCGCAAUGUAAAAGACCUCUAUGAAGAACAUCCUAAAGUUAUUAAAGAAUAUAAAAGAAAAUCUGCAUAAAUGGAGGAUGCACAGGAUAUUGUGAAGGUGACAGUUCACCACAAAUUGAUCCAUAAAUUUAAUGAAAUUACAAUAAAAAUCUUUACAUAAUUUUUAAAAGACUCUGUUAUGAGCUGAACCGUGUCUCCCUCAAAUUCAUGCAUUGAAGUCCCAACCCCUAAUACUGUGGGGGUGGGUGCAUUUGGAAAUAGGACCUUAAAGAGGUGACUAAGGUUAAAUGAGGUGAGGUGAGCUUGAUGUCGUUAACAAGAGCAACUCAGGACCCAGACACCCACUGUGGGAUGGCCCUGUGAAGACAUAGGGAGAAGAUGGUGUCUACAAGCCAAGAAGAGAGGCUGCAGAAGAAACCAACCCUGCCAAACUGUGAGAAAACAAAUUUCUGUUGUUUAAGCCACCCUGUCUGUGGCACUUUGUUAUGGUAGUAACAAAAUAGCACAGAGCCCAAAAGUUUCUAAAGUCUAUAUGGAAAAAUAAAGGCCUAAAAUAACUAUUAAUAAAAUAAUUUUGAAAAAGAAGAUCAAAGAAGAGUAACUCACCAUGUCAUAUUAAGACAUAAAAAGCCAUAGUAAUAAAACAACCCAGUCUUGGCAAGGAUUAGACAGAGACCAACACAAGAGAACAAGGAUACCAUUAAGAAACUCAUGUAGGAGCCUGUCCACGUCUACAGGAAUAAAACAAGAUUGAGAAUUUUAGUAGAGAAUGGGAAACUAAAAGGACAAAAAGGAAAGUCUAGAAUCAAAAAAUACAUUUUAAAACACAGAAGAUUAGACAUGGCUAGAGAGAGAAUUAGUAACCUGAAAGAUCAGAAAAUAUCCAGAAAAAAAAAAGCAUGCAGAAUAGGAUGUUAGGAGGCAGAGGGUACACUAUAGAAAGGCCUGACAUGCCAUGUAAUAUUAGAACCAAUGGAAGAAGAGAAUGAGGUAGAUGUAAUAUUUAAGGAAAUAAUCACCAAUAAGUUCCAAAAACUGAUGAAAGAAAUUAAAUCAUGAAUUCUAGAGGCAUUACAAACUCCAAGUGCAAUAAAUCAAAAAAAAAAAAAAAAAAAAAAAAAAAAAAAAGGCAUACCUAGGUAAGACAGCUGUAAACCAAACAACUUCCAGAAGCGGGAAACUCAAAUUACCUGCAAAAGAGUAAAAGUAAGACUGGCAGCUGACUUCUCAACAGAAAGAGGCAGUGGGUGACAAAGCAGAAAUGCAGUUUGUCAAGUCCCUGUCCCAGCGUCACAGAGCUGACUGUGAAGGGUGGUUAGAAGCUAAGAGGCAGCAGAUUAAUAAUUGGCAUGGAUAAAAAAUAGAUACCAUGCAAAUACUAACUAAAAGGAAGCCAGUGUAGCUGUAUUAAUGCCAGACAAAGUAGACUUUAUACUUAAAGGUUGAGGUAAAAGCACUACUAGGGACAAAGAGUAAUGCCUCUUAGUGAUGAAAGGUAAAUUUACCAAGAUGAUAAAACAUUUCUAAAUCUGUAUGCACUUCAUGACAUAACCUCACAAUAUACAAAACAAAAAUAGUAAGAAAGGAGAUUUAGAGUGAAAACUCAUUGACAUAAAUUUAAAACACAAAUACCACGCAUCUGUUGAGUACCUCUCUCUCCAAGGACACAUGCUGAAUGCAUCACACUGGGUGGCUGUGAUGAGGGAGGUGGGAUUGGGGCAUGGAAAAACUGAAAUCAAGUGAGAGAUACCUCCCCACAACCAGGUGCCGCAGCCCAAUAGGAAGAGACGUGCUCGGUCAACUUAGUUUCUGCCCUCAAGCACCAGAGAGAAAAGGCAGAGAAAACAGGUAAGGGCAUGUUGUCUAUUCAUUAGACCCAUGGAGUUUUCAAUAAAAGGACACAAAAUGACAUUCCUGUUUCUGAGGAAAGGGGACACCUGUGUGUUUGGUGGUGCUGCCUGGAUGUGCCAGAGCCCUUUGCUCACCUGGCCUCAGGCUCUGCUCUGAGAAGCUGGGACCUCAUGGCAAGGAGACCAUCCCUCUGGGCCUGCAGGACUGGGCAGAGUGGCUGGCCUCCAUAGCAGCUGUUCAUCCGAGAGGGUCAGGGGAGAGGCCGUGAGAGGGGGCUUCUUGUGAGCUCCAGGCCCAGCUUCUCCUGGGCUGGAGGCUCCUAGCUGCUGUGGCAAGGAGCUGUCCUGGCAGUGCUGAGGCCCAGGUCUGGCAUCUCUGCCCCUCCACUGCUCAAGGAGAUGCUUGCCUGUGGCCACUCUGUGCUCUUGGCAACUCUGGGUGAUAUGGGCGAGGGCAGGACUUGCUGACUGCCCUGGUGGGAGAGGGCUGUGGCUGCCUUGGGUGGUCACCAGUGUCUGUGAGCACAGAGAAGGAGGAAGAGGGAUUGGGCAGCUCUCCCUCCUGCAGCUCUAAAGGGGAAGGGCCUGGAGGAGUUUGGCCAGGGCCUCCCUGAUGUUGCAGUUCCCAGGCAGUAGAUGAUGGGUUUGAGCAGAGGGAUCCCAACCAAGUAGACCCCUGACACCAGCUUGAUGAGGUUAGAGGAGCCGCCACCCCAGGUGGGAGGCAUAGGUGGGGAAGGCCUUUAGCUGCUGGGCCUUUCUGGAAUCCUCAGCGAUCUGGCCAGGAUGUGGGUGUAGGAGACCGUGGUUGCCUGCAGGGAAGCCGCAAGGAUCACCUGGGCUGCCUGAGUCCGCAUUUCUAUGGUAGUGGUGCUGGAGCAAGAGAGCCCUAGCGGGGGUGGGAUAUCACAGAAGUGGUUGAGGACAUCGGGGCUGCGGAGCCUCAGGCUGGAGUUGAGAGCCGUGGACACAAAGGAGGCUGGGAAGCUGCUGAGCUGGGCGCUGAUGGCCAGGUGCAGGCAGAGCCAGCUGCAUGGAGUCCAUGAUGGGCUGGGUAGUGCAGCAGGUGGCAGAUGACCGGGUGCCAGUCACAGUCCAUGUUGGCCGGGAGGAUGCACUCAGAGGAGCUGAGUGAGAGGAAGAGGAGCAGCCAGGUGAGGUGCCCCGAGAAGGAGAUAGAUGGUCGUCGCUCGUGCUGGGAGUCCGGCCAACAGCUUUGGGACGGUGACCGAGGUGUACAGGGUCUCCAGCACCGAGAGUUUGGCCAGGAAGAGGUGUGUGGAUAUGUGCAGGUGGUGGCUGGCUCUGAUGGUCCCCACGACAGCCAGGUCCUCUAGGAUGGUCACCACAUAGAUGAUGAGGAGUGACCAAAUAGCAGCCCUUGAAGAUGGCGCAGCUCUGGGAAGCUCAGAAAGACAAACUCUGUCACCACAGUAUUGCUGGAAUUGUAUGUGGCCCUCCUGGUCAGGCAGCUCUGGG